UACGGAGGGUGCAAGCGUUAUCCGGAUUCACUGGGUUUAAAGGGUGCGUAGGCGGGCAGGUAAGUCAGUGGUGAAAUCCUAGAGCUUAACUCUAGAACUGCCAUUGAUACUAUCUGUCUUGAAUAUUGUGGAGGUAAGCGGAAUAUGUCAUGUAGCGGUGAAAUGCUUAGAUAUGACAUAGAACACCUAUUGCGAAGGCAGCUUACUACGCAUAUAUUGACGCUGAGGCACGAAAGCGUGGGGAGUCAAACAGG
rnacentral:rRNA from 1 species